rnacentral:rRNA from 1 species
UACGUAGGGUGCGAGCGUUAAUCGGAAUUACUGGGCGUAAAGCGUGCGCAGGCGGUUCGUUAAGUCAGAUGUGAAAGCCCCGGGCUCAACCUGGGAACUGCCUUAGAUACUGACGGCCUCGAGGAAGGCAGGGGCAUGCGGAACUGUAGGUGGAGCGGUGAAAUGCGUUGAUAUCUACAGGAACUCCGGUGGCGAAAGCGGCGUGCUGGACCUUUUCUGACGCUGAGGCGCGAAAGCUAGGGGGAGCAAAACGGG